AAAAGGACUCUCGGCAACGGAUAUCUCGGCUCUUGCAUCGAUGAAGAACGUAGCGAAAUGCGAUACUUGGUGUGAAUUGCAGAAUCCCGUGAACCAUCGAGUCUUUGAACGCAAGUUGCGCCCGAAGCCAUUUGGUCGAGGGCACGCUUGCUUGGGUGUCGUGA
rnacentral:rRNA from 1 species